rnacentral:rRNA from 2 species
CAUGGGAGUGGGUUGCAAAAGAAGUAGGUAGCUUAACCUUCGGGAGGGCGCUUACCACUUUGUGAUUCAUGACUGGGGUGAAGUCGUAACAAGGUAACCGUAGGGGAACCUGCGGUUGGAUCACCUCCUUACCUUAAAGAA